AUUCCCUACGGGAGGCAGCAGUGAGGAAUAUUGGUCAAUGGGCUUACGCCUGAACCAGCCAAGUCGCGUGAGGGAAGACUGCCCUAUGGGUUGUAAACCUCUUUUGUCAGGGAGCAAGGUGCAGGUCGGGACCUGCUGUGAGAGUACCUGAAGAAAAAGCACCGGCUAACUCCGUGCCAGCAGCCGCGGUAAUACGGAGGAUGCGAGCGUUAUCCGGAUUUAUUGGGUUUAAAGGGUGCGCAGGCGGAGGCACAAGUCAGCGGUAAAAUCGCGGGGCUCAACCCCGCUCCGCC
rnacentral:rRNA from 1 species